rnacentral:rRNA from 1 species
GUCUACAGCCACGCUACCCUGAACAAGCCCGAUCUCACUGGAUCUCGGAAGCUAAGCAGGUUUGUGCCUAGUCAGCACUUGGAUGGGAGACCACUUAGGAAUACCAGGUGCUGUAGUCU